CUCUUUUACAAUUAAGUUUAAUAUUAAUGUGUGUAGAUUUGCUCUUGUCAUCAUGUUGUUAACGGUUAUUAUGCAGACUUGUUUGUGUGGUUUCUUUAUAACGUCAAUGGUCUAUGUACAUAAGUGUGUUUUUUUGUUGGCUGGUAAUGGUGUUUCCUAUACACAUUUUGUACUCCCUUUAGUAUCUUCUGUAAGGCAUGUCUGGUGGGAAGGAAUUCCCUUAGC